rnacentral:rRNA from 1 species
UACGGGGGGAGCAAGCGUUGUUCGGAUUUACUGGGCGUAAAGGGCGCGUAGGCGGUCAGCACAAGUCAGUUGUGAAAUCUCCGGGCUUAACUCGGAAAGGUCAACUGAUACUGUGCGACUAGAGUGCGGAAGGGGCAACUGGAAUUCUCGGUGUAGCGGUGAAAUGCGCAGAUAUCAGGAGGAACACCGGUGGCGAAGGCGGGUCUCUGGGCCGAUACUGACGCUGAGGCGCGAAAGCUAGGGGAGCGAACAGG